AAAGGUUGACCUCGGAUCAGGUAGGAAUACCCGCUGAACCUAAAGG
rnacentral:rRNA from 1 species